UUUAAUUGAAGAGUUUGAUCAUGGCUCAGAUUGAACGCUGGCGGCAGGCCUAACACAUGCAAGUCGAGCGGUAACAUUUCAAAAGCUUG
rnacentral:rRNA from 1 species